rnacentral:rRNA from 1 species
AAUAUUGGUCAAUGGGGGCAACCCUGAUCCAGCCAUGCCGCUUGUGUGAAGAAGGUCUUCGGUUUGUAAACCCCUUUAAGUUGGGAGGAAGGGCAGUAAGUUAAUACCUCGCUGUUUUGACGUUACCUACAGAAUACGCACCGCCUAACUUCGUUCCACCACCCGCGGUAAUACGAAGGGUGCAAGCGUUAAUGGGAAUUACUGGGCGUAAAGCGCGCGUAGGUGGUUUGUUAAGUUGGAAGUGAAAGCCCCGGGCUCAACCUGGGAACUGCUUUCAAAACUGGCAAGCUAGAGUAUGGCAGAGGGUGGUGGAAUUUCCUGUGUAGCGGUGAAAUGCGUAGAUAUAGGAAGGAACACCAGUGGCGAAGGCGACUACCUGGACUGAUACUGACACUGAGGUGCGAAAGCGUGGGGAGCAAAC